AGAACACACUAGGGGAGCCAAAUGAUUGGCUGAGACGUUAGAUCGGACCCUUUGAACCUGAACUGGUUAGAACCAGCGGAGGGAAGUGGCGUGAUUCGAAU
rnacentral:ncRNA from 2 species